rnacentral:tRNA from 1 species
UGACUCGGUUGACUCAGCUGGCUAGAGUGCCCCGAUGACCAUCGGGGAAGUCAGGGGUUCAAAUCCCCUCAGGUCCACUA